rnacentral:rRNA from 1 species
GACGAACGCUGGCGGCGUGCCUAAUACAUGCAAGUAGAACGCUGAAGAGAGGAGCUUACUCUUCUUGGAUGAGUUGCGAACGGGUGAGUAACGCGUAGGUAACCUGCCUUGUAGCGGGGGAUAACUAUUGGAGACGAUAGCUAAUACCGCAUAACAAUGGAUGACACAUGUCAUUUAUUUGAAAGGGGCAAUUGCUCCACUACAAGAUGGACCUGCGUUGUAUUAGCUAGUAGGUGAGGUAAUGGCUCACCUAGGCGACGAUACAUAGCCGACCUGAGAGGGUGAUCGGCCACACUGGGACUGAGACACGGCCCAGACUCCUACGGGAGGCAGCAGUAGGGAAUCUUCGGCAAUGGGGGCAACCCUGACCGAGCAACGCCGCGUGAGUGAAGAAGGGUUUCGGAUCGUAAAGCUCGGUUGUAAGUCAAGAACGGGUGUGAGAGUGGAAAGUUCACACUGUGACGGUAGCUUAACAGAAAGGGACGGCUAACUACGUG